rnacentral:rRNA from 1 species
GUAGGUGGCAAGCGUUGUCCGGAAUUAUUGGGCGUAAAGCGCGCGCAGGCGGUCCUUUAAGUCUGAUGUGAAAGCCCACGGCUCAACCGUGGAGGGUCAUUGGAAACUGGAGAACUUGAGUACAGAAGAGGAAAGCGGAAUUCCACGUGUAGCGGUGAAAUGCGUAGAGAUGUGGAGGAACACCAGUGGCGAAGGCGGCUUCCAGGUCUGUAACUGACGCUGAGGCGCGAAAGCGUGGGGAGCAAACAGGGAUUAGAUACCCUGGUAGUCCACGCCGUAAACGAUGAGUGCUAAGUGUUAGGGGGUUUCCGCCCCCUUAGUGCUGCAGCUAACGCAUUAAGCACUCCGCCUGGGGAGUACGGCCGCAAGGCUG